AUUGAACGCUGGCGGCAUGCCUAACACAUGCAAGUCGAACGGUAACAGGCCCUUCGGGUGCUGACGAGUGGCGGAUGGGUGAGUAAUACUUAGGAAUCUACCCUGUAGUGGGGGACGAACCCGGGAAACGUCGGGCUAAUACCGCAUACGCUCUACGGAGGAAAGACGGGGACCGGCAAGGCCGUCGCGCUAUUGGAUGAGCCUAAGCCCGACUUAGCUAGUUGGUGGGGUAAGUAGCCUACCAAGGCAAUGAUCGGUAGCUGGUCUGAGAGGACGACCAGCCACACUGGGA
rnacentral:rRNA from 1 species